rnacentral:rRNA from 1 species
GACGAACGCUGGCGGCGCGCCUAACACAUGCAAGUCGAACGAGCGAGAGGAGGUUUACUUUCUCAAGCGAGUGGCGAACGGGUGAGUAACGCGUGAGGAACCUGCCUCAAAGAGGGGAACAACAGUUGGAAACGACUGCUAAUACCGCAUAAGCCCACGCCCCGGCAUCGGGUAGAGGGAAAAGGAGCAAUCCGCUUUUAGAUUGCCUCGCGUCCGAUUAGCUAGUUGGUGAGGUAAUGGCCCACCAAGGCGACGAUCGGUAGCCGGACUGAGAGGUUGAACGGCCACAUUGGGACUGAGACACGGCCCAGACUCCUACGGGAAGCAGCAGUGGGGAAUAUUGCAAAAUGGGGGAAACCCUGAUGCAGCGACGCCGCGUGGAGGAAGAAGGUCUUCGGAUUGUAAACUCCUGUUGUUGAGGAAGAUAAUGACGGUACUCAACAAGGAAGUGACGGCUAACUACGUG